CCCAAAGCGGAGGAAAAGAAACCAACCGGGAUUGCCUUAGUAACGGCGAGUGAAGCGGCAAAAGCUCAAAUUUGAAAUCUGGUACCUUCGGUGCCCGAGUUGUAAUUUGGAGAGGGCAACUUUGGGGCCGUUCCUUGUCUAUGUUCCUUGGAACAGGACGUCAUAGAGGGUGAGAAUCCCGUGUGGCGAGGAGUGCGGUUCUUUGUAAAGUGCCUUCGAAGAGUCGAGUUGUUUGGGAAUGCAGCUCUAAGUGGGUGGUAAAUUCCAUCUAAAGCUAAAUAUUGGCGAGAGACCGAUAGCGAACAAGUACAGUGAUGGAAAGAUGAAAAGAACUUUGAAAAGAGAGUGAAAAAGUACGUGAAAUUGUUGAAAGGGAAGGGCAUUUGAUCAGACAUGGUGUUUUGUGCCCUCUGCUCCUUGUGGGUAGGGGAAUCUCGCAUUUCACUGGGCCAGCAUCAGUUUUGGUGGCAGGAUAAAUCCAUAGGAAUGUAGCUUGCCUCGGUAAGUAUUAUAGCCUGUGGGAAUACUGCCAGCUGGGACUGAGGACUGCGACGUAAGUCAAGGAUGCUGGCAUAAUGGUUAUAUGCCGCCCGUCUUG
rnacentral:rRNA from 1 species